rnacentral:sRNA from 1 species
CAAGUGCCAACAUUACAGCGGUCAUUGUUCGAGGUCACCUGCCAAAGUCCUGGAAGUUAACUCAAUUCCAAAUGGUCGUUGGUGAAGCUUGAAGAUAUAGAAGAUGUCUACCUAUAGACCAGGAAGUGACUUUCUCACAAGUCUCCAUCUUCUUUGGCCUUGAUAAUAUGCUUCCAGCCUCCAGAAUCAUAAAACAACAACAAAAAGGAUGUCACAGGAAGUGAUUUGGAACAGAGCAGCUCUGCUAAGGAUUUGAAGCAGGGACAUGACAGUUUCCAACUCUGGGGCUUCCUUAUACUGGGUUGGCAAGGAAGAUCAUAGUCUCCUUGGGCCCAUCAUUCUCAGAUCUUCUCAGCAGGGGUUUCUCCCUGCAGCCCAGUGUUCGAUGUGCCCCAGGGAUGAUUAAUGUUAAAUGAAUAAAGGAUGAAUGAACAAGUCAAAAUUGUGAGAGAUACUAGUUUCGGACCAGAAGCCUGAGGGUUCUUCCCGCCAUCCCAACUUUAAUUUUGGAAUAGACUUACAGACGUUUCAAUAAUAGAGCAGUUUUCUAGCAGGUCACCCAGAUCUUUCUAAUGCUCACAUAAACCAGGGAAUGUUUUGGAAAAUAGAAAACUAUGUGGCUGCAAUACUGAUACCAUAAACUCUAGGUUUUGGGGGACAGUCACCAUCUUGUCCACCAGUGUGUCAGGGUGGAUGUCAGUGCAUGAUGUCAAAUUGAAUCAGCCCUCCGUGUGUGGUGGUUUCUCAGGUUUUUUUUAUUCUUGCUUUUGAUGAAUUUGCCAUCGGUGAAGACAUUGGUUAGAGAUCCAUAGCAUGACUUUCCUUUUGGACUUCUGUUUUGUUCUCUCAUAGUUGGACCAGAGUUACAGAUUCUAGAGAGGAAUGUUCUAGAAGUGGUGGGACUUUCUUACAGCUGUGUGAUAUCAAUGCAGUUGACUGCUGGUGCUGGUGUUCCUGACCUUGGCCCCUUACAAACCUAGUAUGGGCCAAGUCUCCUAUCAAGUUACUGCUCACCUUUCUUUACUUUCCACAAUAGAACAUUGGGAUUGUAUAGGCCAAUAAACUCCAAGAGGAAGGGUAUCAGGCUCAACCCUAUAGACAUUUAUUAUUUAGAUUUCACCUGUAAUAAGAAGAAAGGCGUCCUAAACAGUUCCUGCCUUGACCCUCUGGACAUCAAGUGAUAUACAUCUACGCCUUUUCUUGGAAAGGUAU